CGUGCUGCUACUGUGCCACCAACUGUCCACUCCACGUACUCCCACGCCACCCACCCCGAGCCAGAUCUAGAUCGAGACCCCCUACACCAGCGGCCUCCCGUCCCCCCUUCCUCAACCUCACCUCCUCUGCUAUCCACCGGACGCCCCUGCACACACGGGAAACUGCUGCUCGGCAUCUCCAGCAGCCAAGGCCGGGCUCCCGGCCUCUACGCGGCGUCGUCUCUUCCUUCCCCGUCGACAUCUGUCACCGUCGCCGUCCCGGUCCGGCCUUCCAUGCCGCAGCGGUAGAAGAUAGCGACAGAGUGAUAAGGUUUGUGCAGAGAUCUUCUCCUCCGUCGCCGUCCGCGACAAAGCUGCUGGGUGCAUCUGUCCAUCUUCAGAUCUGAGUGAAGAGGGCAUCCGUCCAUAUCAAAAGGUAUGCAGGUUUCUUUCCAAACUUAACAAUGAGAUACUAGGUGAAAGAAAUAGUCCCUACAAGGAAAGGUUGAGCCGCCUAGAGAAUUUAGUACUGAUCAUGGGUUGAUCGACGUGGACUACCGUGACCUGGUCUGCGUCGUGCUCUUCAACCACACAGAGACGGACUUCACCGUGAAGCCUGGCGACCGCGUCAUAUAGAUGAUUGUCCAGGUGAUUGCGGCGCUGGAGGUCACCGAGGUGGAGGACCUUGACGCCACCGUCCUGAGUCGUCGAGGUGGAGGACCUCGACGCCACUGUCUGGAGGUUGCCCAGGUGAAGGACCUCGACGCCUUGUAGAUACAUCUAGAGAAGUGGUCUGCUUAGGUUGGUGGCGGAACGCUAGGGAAGGUACCUACCUUUCGGUGAUGUUUGUGUGCGUCUAAAGUAUAAAUGGGAUCUCGUGAUCUCUUUGAAUUGAGAUGUUCAAUGUUGUAUCCAUGAACGCUGCAAUUGCUAAGUAAGAAUUUAAGUGUUAAGAUGGUUCUGUGACCUUCAUUUA